GUUGGUAUAGCUCAGUGGGAGAGUGCAUGUUUAGCACGCAUGAGGUCCUAGGUUCAAUCCCCAGUAACUCCA
rfam:Camelus ferus unplaced genomic scaffold scaffold1118, whole genome shotgun sequence.